rnacentral:piRNA from 1 species
UUCCUGUGUUAUAUAUAAAAA